rnacentral:rRNA from 1 species
GCGGACGCGUGGGCGGGAUGCGUGGGAGUAAGUGGGGGGGUAGGGUUAAUCGGAAGUACUGGUCGUAAAGCUGGCGCAGGUGGUUGGGGAAGUCAGAGGGGAAGUCCCCGGGCUCAACCUGUGAACUGCAUUGGAGACUGCACGGCUAGAGGAUGGCAGAGGGGGGUAGAAUUCCACGUGUAGCAGUGAAAUGCGUAGAGAUGUGGAGGAAUACCGAUGGCGAAGGCAGCCCCCUGGGCUAUUUCUGACACUCAUGCACGAAAGCGUGGGGAGCAAACAGGAUUAGAUACCCCAGUAGUC